AAGAAACCCCCUCCCAAGAAAUUAUUAUUGGUGACAAAUUCAUGAACAGUACCAGAUUCAUGAUACCAAUAUUAUAGCUUUUCAAUCAGAAGAAUCAAUACCAAAUAUUCCCACACUUUUAAUUGAGCAUGGACAGACAAACAUACAGGCUAUAAUUCAUAUUUAACAUUUUCAGUUUCAUUGAAAUGCUGCAGUCUGCUCUAUAGAUCAAAU
rnacentral:misc_RNA from 1 species